rnacentral:rRNA from 1 species
GACGAACGCUGGCGGCGUGCCUAAUACAUGCAAGUCGAGCGAAUCGAUGGGAGCUUGCUCCCUGAGAUUAGCGGCGGACGGGUGAGUAACACGUGGGUAACCUGCCUGUAAGACUGGGAUAACUUCGGGAAACCGGAGCUAAUACCGGAUACUUUCUUUUCUCGCAUGAGGGAAGAUGGAAAGGUGGUUCUGCUAUCACUUACAGAUGGACCCGCGGCGCAUUAGCUAGUUGGUGAGGUAACGGCUCACCAAGGCAACGAUGCGUAGCCGACCUGAGAGGGUGAUCGGCCACACUGGGACUGAGACACGGCCCAGACUCCUACGGGAGGCAGCAGUAGGGAAUCUUCCGCAAUGGACGAAAGUCUGACGGAGCAACGCCGCGUGAGCGAAGAAGGCCUUCGGGUCGUAAAGCUCUGUUGUUAGGGAAGAACAAGUACGAGAGUAACUGCUCGUACCUUGACGGUACCUAACCAGAAAGCCACGGCUAACUACGUGCCAGCAGCCGCCGUAAUAC